UUACUGCUCCCUCCGUUUCAUAAUUCUUAUCUCAAAUUUGCUACAAAAUGGAUGUAUCUAUUCCUAAAAAGUGUAGAUACAUGUAAUAUUUCGACAAGAAUUAUGGAACGGAGGGAGUAUCUU
rnacentral:pre_miRNA from 1 species